rnacentral:tRNA from 1 species
GGCGCCAUCGUCUAGUGGACUAGGACAUGAGAUUCUCAUUCUUAAAACCGGGGUUCAAUUCCCCGUGGCGCUG